rnacentral:lncRNA from 1 species
CCCUGUUAUUAUAAUAUAUUUUAUAUGAUAAUAUUUGUAACAACUCAGAAUCUCAUUCGAAAAAGUCGAUCACAUACCUGUUGUUUAAAUCUUGGCAUUCUUAUUAAGCUAAAGAUCCAGCUCCAUACAAAUCCAUUGAUACAUGCCAUACUUGGCUCGUGAUUAAUCCAAAUGAACACGUACUAUAGUAUUCUCUGAUCCAUAUGGCCUACAAGUUAGAUCGAAUCUGAUAUCAUUUAUAAUAAUACAUAUAGGAUCUCACUCAAAAGGACUAGUCAAAAGAUAUUAUUUGGAUUCUUUAAUCUUGUAUAAAUACAUAAGAUCUUUUCAAUAAAUAACUGAUAUAAGACUAAAUAU